UACGUAGGUGGCAAGCGUUGUUCGGAUUCAUUGGGCGUAAAGGGUGCGUAGGCGGCGGGGUAAGUCUGAUGUGAAAUCCCGGGGCUCAACCCCGGAACUGCAUUGGAUACUGCCUUGCUUGAGUACUGGAGAGGAGACUGGAAUUUACGGUGUAGCAGUGAAAUGCGUAGAUAUCGUAAGGAAGACCAGUGGCGAAGGCGAGUCUCUGGACAGUUACUGACGCUGAGGCACGAAGGCCAGGGGAGCAAACGGG
rnacentral:rRNA from 1 species